rnacentral:tRNA from 1 species
GCUCUUUUAGCUCAGCAGGUAGAGCAGCACCAUGGUAAGGUGAAGGUCGCCAGUUCGAUUCUGGCAUUGAGCA